UACGUAGGGUGCGAGCGUUGUCCGGAAUUAUUGGGCGUAAAGGGCGCGUAGGCGGGAUGGCAAGUCGGUCGUGAAAUCCUUCGGCUCAACCGAAGAACGUCGAUCGAUACUGCUGUUCUUGAGGGUUGCAGAGGAGACUGGAAUUCCCGGUGUAGCGGUGAAAUGUGUAGAGAUCGGGAGGAACACCGGUGGCGAAGGCGGGUCUCUGGGCAAUUCCUGACGCUGAGGCGCGAAAGCGUGGGGAGCAAACGGGG
rnacentral:rRNA from 1 species